rnacentral:rRNA from 1 species
CCUACGGGUGGCAGCAGUGGGGAAUAUUGGGCAAUGGGCGCAAGUCUGACCCAGCAACGCCGCGUGAAGGAAGAAGGCUUUCGGGUUGUAAACUUCUUUUCUCAGGGACGAAGCAAGUGACGGUACUUGAGUAAUAAGCCACGGCUAACUACGUGCCAGCAGCCGCGGUAAUACGUAGGGGGCAAGCGUUAUCCGGAUUUACUGGGUGGAAAGGGCGUGUAGGCGGGACUGCAAGUCAGAUGUGAAAACCACGGGCUCAACCUGUGGACUGCAUUUGAAACUGGAGGUCUUGAGUACUGGAGAGGCAGACAGAAUUCCUGGUGUAGCGGUGAAAUGCGUAGAUAUUAGGAGGAACACCAGUGGCGAAGGCGGUCUGCUGGACAGCGACUGACGCUGAGGCGCGAAAGCGUGGGGAGCAAACAGGAUUAGAUACCCUGGUAGUC